UUGGAGGGCAAGUCUGGUGCCAGCAGCCGCGGUAAUUCCAGCUCCAAUAGCGUAUAUUAAAGUUGUUGCAGUCAAAAAGCUCGUAGUUGAAUUUCGGGGUUUAUUCAUUGGUCGGGCUUUUUCGGUCCGCACUGGUGCGAUGGAUUCCUACCUUCUGAAUAACCAGCAUGCCAUUAAUUUGGUGCGUUGGGGAAGCAGGACUGUUACCUUGAAAAAAUUAGAGUGCUUAAAGCAGGCUAGUGCCUGAAUACAUUAGCAUGGAAUAAUGAAAUAGGACGCAUGGUUCUAUUUUGUUGGUUUCUAGGAUCACCGUAAUGAUUAAUAGGGAUAGUUGGGGGCAUUAGUAUUCAAUUGUCAGAGGUGAAAUUCUUGGAUUUAUUGAAGACUAACUUCUGCGAAAGCAUUUGCCAAGGAUGUUUUCAUUAAUCAAGAACGAAAGUUAGGGGAUCGAAGACGAUCAGAUACCGUCGUAGUCUUAACCAUAAACUAUGCCGACUAGGGAUCGGACGAAGUUAAUUUUUUAAUGACUCGUUCGGCGCCUUACGGGAAAC
rnacentral:rRNA from 1 species